UCUCAGACGAUGGGCGGCCGGGCAGAGA
rnacentral:piRNA from 1 species